AAAAGCUUUCUUUAAUUGAAUAAUUGAAUUUAAUUUUUUAGUGCAAAAGCAAAAAUAAAAAUUAGGGACAAGAAGACCCUAUGAAUUUUUUAUUAAAUUUUAUAAAACUUUUUAUAAAAUUUAAUUUAAUUGGGGUGAUGGAAAAAGAAUAAAUAUCUUUUUUUUUAAAAAAAAUUGGUUCCGUUUUUAGCGAUUAAAUGAAAAAAAUACUCUAGGGAUAACAGCGUAAUAAUUUUGGAUAGUUCAUAUAGAUAAAAUAGUUUGCGACCUCGAUGUUGGAUUAGGAUUCUUUUUUGGUGAAGAAGUUAAAAAAAGAAGUUUGUUCAACUUAUAAUUUCCUACUUGAUCUGAGUUCAGACCGG
rnacentral:rRNA from 1 species